rnacentral:rRNA from 1 species
AGUGAACGCUGGCGGUAGGCCUAACACAUGCAAGUCGAACGGCAGCACAGUAAGAGCUUGCUCUUACGGGUGGCGAGUGGCGGACGGGUGAGGAAUACAUCGGAAUCUACUUUUUCGUGGGGGAUAACGGAGGGAAACUUACGCUAAUACCGCAUACGACCUACGGGUGAAAGCAGGGGAUCUUCGGACCUUGCGCGAUUGAAUGAGCCGAUGUCGGAUUAGCUAGUUGGCGGGGUAAAGGCACACCAAGGCGACGAUCCGUAGCUGGUCUGAGAGGAUGAUCAGCCACACUGGAACUGAGACACGGUCCAGACUCCUACGGGAGGCAGCAGUGGGGAAUAUUGGACAAUGGGCGCAAGCCUGAUCCAGCCAUACCGCGUGGGUGAAGAAGGCCUUCGGGUUGUAAAGCCCUUUUGUUGGGAAAGAAAAGCAGCAGGUUAAUACCCCGCUGUUCUGACGGUACCCAAAGAAUAAGCACCGGCUAACUUCGUG